UUGAUUACGUCCCUGCCCUUUGUACACACCGCCCGUCGCUGCCCGGGACUGAGCCAUUUCGAGAAACUCGGGGAUUGUUGGUCUGGUUGCUUUCGGGCAGCCGUUCUGGCGAGAACCGAUUUAAUCGCAGUGGCUUGAACCGGGCAAAAGUCGUAACAAGGUAGCUGCAGGUGAACCUGCUGCUGGAUCAUUACCCACCUGAU
rnacentral:rRNA from 1 species